rnacentral:rRNA from 1 species
ACACUCCUGCGGGAGGCAGCAGUGGGGAAUAUUGGACAAUGGGCGCAAGCCUGAUCCAGCCAUGCCGCGUGAGUGAUGAAGGCCCUAGGGUUGUAAAGCUCUUUCACCGGUGAAGAUAAUGACGGUAACCGGAGAAGAAGCCCCGGCUAACUUCGUGCCAGCAGCCGCGGUAAUACGAAGGGGGCUAGCGUUGUUCGGAUUUACUGGGCGUAAAGCGCACGUAGGCGGAUUAUUAAGUCAGGGGUGAAAUCCCGGGGCUCAACCCCGGAACUGCCUUUGAUACUGGUAGUCUUGAGUUCGAGAGAGGUGAGUGGAAUUCCGAGUGUAGAGGUGAAAUUCGUAGAUAUUCGGAGGAACACCAGUGGCGAAGGCGGCUCACUGGCUCGAUACUGACGCUGAGGUGCGAAAGCGUGGGGAGCAAACAGGAUUAGAAACCCUGGUAGUCCCAUGAU